CCUUGCCAGCCCGCUCAGAAACUUAAAGGAAGUUGACGGGGCCCGGCACAGGCGGAGGAGCAUGUGGUUAAUUCGAUGAUACGCGAGGAACCUUACCUGGGCUCGAACGUAAGAUGACUGUAGGUGAAAGCUUACAUCUCUUCGGAGCAUUUUACGAGGUGCUGCAUGGUUGUCGUCAGCUCGUGCCGUGAGGUGUCGGGUUAAGUCCCAUAACGAGCGCAACCCCUACCUUUAGUUGCCAUCAGGUAAUGCUGGGGACUCUAAAGGAACUGCCUACGCAAGUAGUGAGGAAGGCGGGGAUGACGUCAAAUCAGCACGGCCCUUACGUCCAGGGCUACACACGUGCUACAAUGGCCGAUACAGAGGGCAGCUACCUGGUGACAGGAUGCAAAUCUCCAAAGUCGGUCUCAGUUCGGAUCGGAGUCUGCAACCCGACUCCGUGAAGUUGGAUUCGCUAGUAAUCGUGGAUCAGCAUGCCACGGUGAAUACGUUCCCGGGCCUU
rnacentral:rRNA from 1 species